UUAAGUUCAGCGGGUAUCCCUACCUGAUCCGAGGUCAACACUUAGAAAGUACUCCGAAGAGUAGUGGUUAAAGACCGCCGCCCGCAGAUUCACGCCGUGUACAUGCUUGGUUAAAAGCUCCUCGUACCGGUUCCAUCUGGGACGCCGUCACUAUCUUUGAGGCCCAUAACUGUUAUGUUAUGAAAGUCCAACACCAAGCC
rnacentral:misc_RNA from 1 species